rnacentral:tRNA from 1 species
GCCUGGCUGGCUCUGUUGGUAGAGCAUGAGCCUCUUGAUCUCAGGGUGGCGAGUUCGAACCCCGCACUGGGGA